rnacentral:rRNA from 1 species
UACGAAGGGGGCGAGCGUUGUUCGGAGUUACUGGGCGUAAAGGGCGCGUAGGCGGCGAUCCAAGUUAGGCGUGAAAGCCCCGGGCUUAACCUGGGAAUUGCGCUUAAGACUGGACUGCUUGAGUGCGGGAGAGGUGAGUGGAAUUCCCAGUGUAGAGGUGAAAUUCGUAGAUAUUGGGAAGAACACCGAUGGCGAAGGCAGCCCCCUGGGCCAAUACUGACGCUCAGGCACGAAAGCGUGGGGAGCAAACAGG